GUACGGUCAAAACAUAGCAGGAAAAAUCUGUAUUGACAGAACCUUAGAGAACAUAACAAGAGGGCUGGGGUGAACGGAUGGAUUUCAUUUCCACAGCAAUCUGUCUGACAAUGGCACGUCUUUAAAAAAAGGACUAAUUUCAUCGAUUAAAAUCGAAGAGUGCAAUUAUGAUGGCAUUUGUCAGGCGUUUAAUAUGAGCUGCUCUUCCUUGCCAGCGCUUAACAAUGACACAGCAGAAGAGGCCAGCUGAGUUAAUAGCAGGACCAUUUCUCUGAGACCAAUACUCAGAAACCCCCUCCAGGGCCCAGUCAAUGUCACAGCUUCUCGUGUCGCAUCAUUUCCCUUGCCAGGAGGGGGAGAGAGGCCAAGUAUUGAUCAGCCUGUAAUCAGACAAGCUGUUUGGAGCAGCAGGAAAAACUCCUUGCAGAAGUGCCUCUUGGCUUCACCGGAGAUGGAGUGCAGUUUUUGUAGCCUUGUUGGAGGGAUGAGUGGGGAGGGAGAUGGCAGUGAUCCCCUCGGCUGACACCAUCCAUUAAGUCCGGCCUUGUCUGACAGCGCACAUCUGAUCUGCUGGCUGAGGGAGAGAGACGAAUGUGGACUUCUCUGAGGUGCAUCAAUGACAGCAUCACCAGGCGGACCACAGAGAACCACAGGCAAGACACACACUAAUGGCAUAAAGAGUUUUGGAAUUGCUGGAAUAAUCUAAUUUAUAAUUGAGUACGACACGUGAACGGUGGGGUCAUAAAAUCAGAGGAGAAAUGACAAGAAAGCAAACAGCCUCCGAGUGUUUUCACAGUGAGCAGAAGGAGGAGGAGGAGUGCUGUGUGGGAAUAUGCAAAUGAGACAGAGACAAAGAGACAGGGAGUUAUAAGAGAACAUAAACAAAGCUCUGUAAACAAACCUCCUCAGGUCACUCCGCAGUAGGAGAAGGAGAUUAAAAUAGGAGGGUGCGAAUGUGUUUGUAUACGCCUGUGAAGGAGGAGGAGGUGCAUCCACAUCAUCACACAGCUCCUCAUGACUCCCCGCUAAAGCACGGUACCUGCACGCGUGGUUGCUAUGGAGAUCCAGUGUGGCGUAAGAACAGAGGGACCAACCGCUGAACCGGCUCUGGCUCUUAACCCGGAGAAGGGAAAAAAAAUCGCACACACCAACAAAGGGAAUGAUUUAUUAAGUCCACUGUAUUCUAAGCCCCAUUAUCCAACCCACAUAAAACCUGCAAGCGUUUCAACUGAUCUGAUUUAUGUUGAAGGCAAUCUCAAAGGACACCUCCCUUUCCAAGAUGCUCUCUUAUUAUCCUCGCCUGGCUGGGCUGAGCGGAAAAAUGACAUGUCAUAAUAAUCUUGAGAACGGCAAUCGGAUGGAGCGGAAACGCACACGCUCCCCACCUUAUUUACAGGCUGAAAUGUUUUUCGUCGGGGCGAAAAAGCCUGACAUAAUUUCCUUAUAAAUAAUUGACUUCUCCCAUGUUAAAAUCUCCUGAGAGGCUUUGGGCUUUAUUCACAAGAGGCCACUGCAGCAUGCGCUGCAAAUUAGCCUUUCACCGACGCCUCGUCUGCUCGCCAGUGAACAAUGCACUGAGAGACUCGCUCUCCUCCCUUUAUGCCUGUCCCCAAGUAAUAACCUUCAACUAACCUUUAAACCUCGGUGAAUAAUUUAAAUCCUAUUUUCAUAUCAAUGGGGGGUAUUUUAUCCGUAUACUUUGCCGUCAGAGGGAGGCAUAAUAAAGUUUUCCCAUGUGAUUGAGGGAAGAGGAAAGGGGGGGGUGGGGAUGAGUGAAAAACGAGCGGCUGAUAGAGAGAGAGAGAGAGAGAGAGAGAGAGAGAGGAAGGAGGAAGUGGAGGGAGCUGGAGAUGCUAUCUGAAGACAUUAAUGCAAGCAUGAAUUAUUCAGUAAUGACUACAAGAUCUGUCAUAAAAAAUGCUGCUAACAUCUGCAGCGUGUUGCGAGGGGGCUGUGGGGAGUGGGCAAGCCGCCGAGGAAAGGCGCUGAAGAUAAACAUGACAAAUUGGCAGAUCAUCUGUUCAAUUAGGACAGCGGAGCAGGUGCACCCAGCGAGCCAAGCUGUACCACACGGUGACACACUUACCAGCCAAAAACCAAGGGCAUGAUGGGAAAUACCUUGUUUGCAUGACAGUGAUUUAGAGCAGUGUGCCAUUGGAUAUCCACAGAAAAAAAAACUAGG